UGAAAAGAACGGGCUAAAAGCA
rnacentral:piRNA from 1 species